rnacentral:rRNA from 1 species
GGCACUGCCUGAUGGAGGGGGAUAACUACUGGAAACGGUAGCUAAUACCGCAUAACGUCGCAAGACCAAAGAGGGGGACCUUCGGGCCUCUUGCCAUCGGAUGUGCCCAGAUGGGAUUAGCUUGUUGGUGGGGUAACGGCUCACCAAGGCGACGAUCCCUAGCUGGUCUGAGAGGAUGACCAGCCACACUGGAACUGAGACACGGUCCAGACUCCUACGGGAGGCAGCAGUGGGGAAUAUUGCACAAUGGGCGCAAGCCUGAUGCAGCCAUGCCGCGUGUAUGAAGAAGGCCUUCGGGUUGUAAAGUACUUUCAGCGGGGAGGAAGGGAGUAAAGUUAAUACCUUUACUCAUUGACGUUACCCGCAGAAGAAGCACCGGCUAACUCCGUGCCAGCAGCCGCGGUAAUACGGAGGGUGCAAGCGUUAAUCGGAAUUACUGGGCGUAAAGCGCACGCAGGCGGUUUGUUAAGUCAGAUGUGAAAUCCC